UUUGUAAGGUUUUGGAUUAUUUGAUUGGCCUACAUAUAUAUCUAACUUUUAUGCAUAUGUUGGUUGUGAACUGAUUUUGAGAAUUAUUUUGAGUAUGCUGAUCUCAGAACAGAUUCAUGAUAAGAUUGAUUCACUCCUUUGGAUGGCAAUUCAUGAUUGAGUUUUAAUCCGAGUUGAUUGUCUUGGACUGAAUGUGGAUGAUUCAUACUUGUUUGAACAUUACACUGACCACCGUAUUGGAUUGUGCUGUAUGGAAAACAUAGGAGGAGAUUGUUGGAUAUAUUGUUAUUGGAUAUAUUGUUAUAUAUAAUCCAAAUAAUAUGUUCAUGUUGGAUAUAUUGUUAUAUAUAUAAUCCAAAUAAUAUGUUCACAUACAAGCCCAAUAGGUGAAAGUUAUUGAGGCCCAUAUUAACUGGAGCCCAAUAGCUUAUUUAUUAACCCUGGGUUUCCCUAAGCUGGAGGUAACACUGUUGAGCGUUCCAAACUUGACGACUCUUGGUGUAAUACUUCAAGCACCCAAAACACCAUCUAUUCUCAAAACCCUAACCUCCAAUAAGUGGAAAGGGGGCAGAUCUCGGAAUGGGAAACCUGCCGCAUUUCCUGCCCCACUAACACCAAAUCCGUCUUGUUUUCGGUCCUGCCUCUAUGACAGGAUGAAAUCCAUGUCCUUAGUCUAUCCAAUCUAAAAAAUCUGCCUCCUACCAAUGACUCGAAUCCUCCCCGUCUACUAAUUUCUUUGUUUUUUAACUCAAAUUUAAAUUAAAUACACUUAAAAUUUUAUAAAUUAUAUUUAUUUUAAAAA
rnacentral:lncRNA from 1 species